GGGCGUGUGGUCUAGUGGUAUGAUUCUCGCUUUGGGUGAUAGUUGAUUCAACUGAACAAAUCUGCGAGAGGCCCUGGGUUCAAUUCCCAGCUCGCCCC